UGUCAUGAAUGAUUUGUUAUUAAAAACAAGAAGAAGUCUUUGUUUACAUUUUUGUUUUUUAUCAGUACUUGUUUUUUGGUCAUUAGAAAAAGGAGAAAUAAACAAAGUUAAACACAAUUAAGGAAAAUAAUCUAGAUAAAGCGGAGAGACUCAGGUAUGGGCCAAGCCUUUUUAUACAAAUUGUCCACGUCGAACUUCUUUCUAUACCAGGAUGAGCUUACGUUACAAUACGCAAAUAAAACUGCGAUUAAUAAGAAGGUCCAGCGCAACAUAGAAUUAUAGAAUUAUUAGACAUUGAUUGCAAAUCCUUAAAAAUACCACAAGCACAACCACUAAUGGCGUUUUUUUGUGCAUGAUUAGUCCAACUUUAAGUAUCAGUGAUUUAAGUGAAUGGAUAUUUGAAACAAAGUAUAGAGGCAUGGGUACCUACAGCAGAAAACAGCAAUGAUGGAAUUGAAGUGUGUAUAUUAUAAUUAAGCCUACAAGAAAUUUAAGUACUGGUGGCAAUGGUUUUGAAUCUUAGGAAUUUGUGGGCGCUAUACAAAUGCCAAUUUCAUUAAUUGAUAGAAAACAUGAAUUGGUCUAUGAGAGAAGACAACCAAAAACAGUGCAGAAAACGGCGACAUAUGUGAAAGUAAAAUAAAUAAUAUUUAACAAGAAGCACUUUUUAAGUGGCAAUGCGAACGCAUCAAGGCUUCAAGCCGGUAUUACGAAUGGCCUUAAUAUUUAAUGAUUUUUCGAUAAUAUCAUUGACAAGAAACCAUGAUCAUAAGAAACGAGAUUUAUAUCCAUGUCUCUUUAGUCGACGUUAUAAUAUUAGCAUCGCCCUAAGGCAGUCCCACAAUAGUUUCAACAGCAAAUAC